AAAUAUUAAUAAAAUUGAGAAUGGAAAUGGGGAAUGUGCCAAAGAGACAACAACCCGACCAUAGAAAAAAAACAACAGCAGAAGGUCACCAACAGGUCUUCAAUGUAGCGAGAAAUUCCCGCACCUGGAGGCGUCCUUCAACUGGCCCCUAAACAAAUAUAUAGUAGUUCAGUGAUAAUGAACGCCAUACUAAUUUCCAAAUUGUACACAAGAAAC
rnacentral:lncRNA from 1 species